AUGCUUUACUUAAUUAUCAUUUGGGUCACACUUUGUGGUGUGUCACUUUACAAGUGAAGCUAUAAGGAUUGUUCCUCUCGCUAUCCUUUGCGCUCCGUUUGUGGUGUAUUUGGACGUUGGGGUACUAAAUUA